GCAACAUGAACUGUAGUGACGGCGGAGGACCUGGCUCCGUUUGAGCCGAUUUCGAAUCAAUCUCAAUAUCUUGAGCUACAAGCCACCAAUACUCUUGAUUCUUGGCUCAUAUGAUUCGCAUCAACUUUCUGAACAAGCACCAAGAAGAACCAGACCUGAAUCGACCAUUUUCACGUUCGUCGGAGCUCGACCGGUUUUUGAUCGAAAAUCAAAACCUUUCGAUCGUGAUAUCUCGAGUUGUAGUGCAUCGUUUUGAUUGAUUCUUGAACCAGUGGGUUUGCCUUGAUGUUCUUAACAACUCUCUAGAAGGAAUCGAGGCCUGAAAUUGAAGUUUUUACGUCGAAAUCUUGGCUCGCCGGUUUCUGCAUUUCUUCGCCGGUUUCUGGAAAAUUUCCGGCCACCUUCAACUGUUCUAGGUGAUUGACGGUCUCCCUUGGGUGAGCGGUUUCGGUGUGUAUUGUGUUGAAUUGAAGACGCAGCGGGAAUAUCGAGCGGGUAAUCCUACAGGUCAGGAGAAUCAGGACGGUGAUCGUGCGGGUUAGAGAAUUUGUUUUAGUUUUACAGCAAUUGUAAUUGUGAGGUGAGUUAUGCUCAUUUGAGCCUUACAAUAUAAUUUGGUGAGAGUGUGCUGUAAUAAACAAAUUUGAGAUUUGGUUUAUGUAAUAUCGAGCGAUGUGAGGUGUGGUUGUUUUGAGAAAAAAAUUCAGGUUGUAUUUAUGUGAGUUGUAUUAAUUCAUGUUUCGGAUUUGGAUUUGUUAUUCAAAA